GGUUUCUUGUUUAUAUAGGAAAUUUGGCCUGCCCACUGAAGAAUUUUUAAGGGCCGCAGUAUUUUGACUGUGCAAAGGUAGCAUAAUCAUUAGUCUUUUAAUUGAAGGCUGGAAUGAAUGGUUGGACGAAAUAAAGUCUGUUUCAUUAAAAUUUAUUGAAUUUAGAUUUUAAGUAAAAAUUCUUAAAUGUUAUUAAGGGACGAGAAGACCCUAUAGAGUUUAAUAUAUUGAUUUUAAAUUAGGUUUAUGUUUAAUUAAUAAUUUUUUUAUUUAGUAUAUUUAGUUGGGGUGAUUGAAAGAUAAUUUUAACUCUUUUUGUAUUUUAAUAAAUAUAAUUAGUUUUUUGAUCCAUAAUUUUAUGACUAUAAGAUUAAAUUACCUUAGGGAUAACAGCAUAAUUUUUUUUGAGAGUUCUUAUUGAGAGAAAAGAUUGUGACCUCGAUGUUGGAUUAAGAUAAAUAAUAGGUGUAGGUGCUUAUUUAUUGGGUCUGUUCGACCUUUAAAAUCUUACA
rnacentral:rRNA from 1 species